GACGAACGCUGGCGGCGUGCUUAACACAUGCAAGUCGAACGGAAAGGCCCUGCUUUUGUGGGGUGCUCGAGUGGCGAACGGGUGAGUAACACGUGAGUAACCUGCCCUUGACUUUGGGAUAACUUCAGGAAACUGGGGCUAAUACCGGAUAGGAGCUCCUGCUGCAUGGUGGGGGUUGGAAAGUUUCGGCGGUUGGGGAUGGACUCGCGGCUUAUCAGCUUGUUGGUGGGGUAGUGGCUUACCAAGGCUUUGACGGGUAGCCGGCCUGAGAGGGUGACCGGCCACAUUGGGACUGAGAUACGGCCCAGACUCCUACGGGAGGCAGCAGUGGAGAAUAUUGCACAAUGAGCGGAAGCCUGAUGCAGCAACGCCGCGUGCGGGAUGACGGCCUUCGGGUUGUAAACCGCUUUCGCCUAUGACGAAGCGUGAGUGACGGUAAUGAGUAAAGAAGCACCGGCUAACUACGUG
rnacentral:rRNA from 1 species